rnacentral:rRNA from 1 species
AUUGGACGCUGGCGGCAGGCCUAACACAUGCAAGUCGAGCGGCAGCGGGAAAGUAGCUUGCUACUUUUGCCGGCGAGCGGCGGACGGGUGAGUAAUGCCUGGGGAUCUGCCCAGUCGAGGGGGAUAACUACUGGAAACGGUAGCUAAUACCGCAUACGCCCUACGGGGGAAGCAGGGGACCUUCGGGCCUUGCGCGAUUGGAUGAACCCAGGUGGGAUUAGCUAGUUGGUGAGGUAACGGCUCACCAAGGCGACGAUCCCUAGCUGGUCUGAGAGGAUGAUCAGCCACACUGGAACUGAGACACGGUCCAGACUCCUACGGGAGGCAGCAGUGGGGAAUAUUGCACAAUGGGGGAAACCCUGAUGCAGCCAUGCCGCGUGUGUGAAGAAGGCCUUCGGGUUGUAAAGCACUUUCAGUGAGGAGGAAAGGUCAGUAGCUAAUAUCUGCUGGCUGUGACGUUACUCGCAGAAGAAGCACCGGCUAACUCCGUGCCAGCCGCCGCCGUAA